rnacentral:rRNA from 1 species
UACGUAGGUGGCAAGCGUUGUCCGGAUUUACUGGGCGUAAAGCGCCCGUAGGCGGCCUGUCAAGUUGGUCGUGAAAGCUCCUGGCUUAACUGGGAGAGGCCGUUCAAAACUGCCAAGCUAGAGUCUGGAAGAGGAGAGCGGAAUUCCCGGUGUAGUGGUGGAAUGCGUAGAGAUCGGGAGGAACACCAGUGGCGAAAGCGGCUCUCUGGUCCAAAACUGACGCUGAGGGGCGAAAGCGUGGGGAGCGAACGGG